rnacentral:rRNA from 1 species
ACGAAGGGGGCUAGCGUUGUUCGGAUUUACUGGGCGUAAAGCGCGUGUAGGCGGGUCGUUAAGUUGGGGGUGAAAUCCCGAGGCUCAACCUCGGAACUGCCUUCAAAACUGGCGGCCUGGAGCAAGAUAGAGGCGAGUGGAAUUCCGAGUGUAGAGGUGAAAUUCGUAGAUAUUCGGAGGAACACCAGUGGCGAAGGCGACUCGCUGGAUCUUUGCUGACGCUGAGACGCGAAAGCGUGGGGAGCAAACAGGAUUAGAUACCCUGGUAGUCCACGCUGUAAACGAUGAGAGCUAGUUGUCGGCACGCAUGCGUGUCGGUGACGCAGCUAACGCAUUAAGCUCUCCGCCUGGGGAGUACGGCCGCAAGGUUA